rnacentral:misc_RNA from 1 species
GAUGAAGAACGUAGCGAAAUGCGAUACGUAAUGUGAACUGCAAAUUCAGUGAAUCAUCGAGUCUUUGAACGCACAUUGCGCCCCCUGGUAUUCCGGGGGGCAUGCCUGUCCGAGCGUCAUUGCUGCCCUCAAGCACGGCUUGUGUGUUGGGCCCCGUCCUCCGAUCCCGGGGGACGGGCCCGAAAGGCAGCGGCGGCACCGCGUCCGGUCCUCGAGCGUAUGGGGCUUUGUCACCCGCUCUGUAGGCCCGGCCGGCGCUUGCCGAUCAACCCAAAUUUUUAUCCAGGUUGACCUCGGAUCAGGUAGGGAUACCCGCUGAACUUAAGCAUAUCAAUAAGCGGAGGA